GAUGAACGCUAGCUACAGGCUUAACACAUGCAAGUAGAGGGACCGGCGCACGGGUGAGUAACACGUAUCCAACCUGCCCUUUACUCGGGGAUAGCCUUUCGAACGACAGAUUAAUACCCGAUGUAAAGGAUGGGGCGGCGUUCCAUUAGGUUGUUGGUGAGGUAACGGCUCACCAAGCCUUCGCUGGAUAGGGGUUCUGAGAGGAAGGGUCCCGACAUUGGAACUGAGACACGGUCCAAACUCCUACGGGAGGCAGCAGUGAUGAAUAUUGGUCAAUGGGCGUUAGCCUGAACCAGCCAAGUAGCGGGAAGGAUGAAGGCUUAUGGGUCGUAAACUUCUUUUAUAUAAGAAGAUGUAUUAGAUGAAUAAGGAUCGGCUAACUCCGUGCCAGCAGCCGCGGUAAUAC
rnacentral:rRNA from 1 species